UGCCUGAAAAGUUUUGCAUGGAAUAAUGGAAUAGGACUUCGGUUCUAUUUCGUUGGUUUUCGGAUCCGAAGUAAUGAUCAAAAGAGACAGGCGGGGACGUUUGUAUGGCUGCGCUAGAGGUGAAAUUCAUGGACCGUAGCCAGACAAACUAAAGCGAAAGCAUUCGUCAAGCAUGUUUUCAUUGGCCAUGAGCGAAAGUCAGAGGCUCGAAGACGAUCAGAUACCGUCCUAGUUCUGACCAUAAACGAUGCCAACUGACGAUCCGUGGUGGUAGUCUAUCAACCUUCCCCACGGGCAGUCCCCGGGAAACCUUUAAGUCUUUGGGUUCCGGGGGAAGUAUGGUUGCAAAGCUGAAACUUAAAGGAAUUGACGGAAGGGCACCACCAGGAGUGGAGCCUGCGGCUUAAUUUGACUCAACACGGGAAAACUCACCCGGCCCGGACACUAUGAGGAUUGACAGAUUGAUAGC
rnacentral:rRNA from 1 species